rnacentral:lncRNA from 1 species
ACUUAAAAUGAUAUCUUUAAGAUUGAAAACAAGCUCGAUGAUUCCUAAUGUUAAGACUGAAACAGACUUCCAUCUCUUACAUUCAGGAGUCUCUUGCUGUUUACAAACCUUCUACUAUCCUGAAGUCUUUUGCAACUAUUUGCAAACAUAACUUGUACUGUCGGUAUCCUAUACCCAAGUAGUAGUAUUAUUAAUAGAAAAACUUUAAGGAGUUAUCAUAUAACUAUCUUAACCAGUA